rnacentral:snRNA from 1 species
GUGCUUACUUUGGCAGCACAUAUAAUAAAAUUGGAACGAUACAGAAAAGAUAAGCAUGGCCCCUGUGCAAGGAUGACAUGCAAAUUUGUGAGGUGUUCCAUAUUUUU